rnacentral:rRNA from 1 species
AGCGAACGCUGGCGGCAGGCUUAACACAUGCAAGUCGAGCGGGCAUCCUUGUGGUGUCAGCGGCAGACGGGUGAGUAAUGCGUGGGAACGUGCCCUUCGGUUCGGAAUAACUCAGGGAAACUUGAGCUAAUACCGGAUACGUGCGAGAGCAGAAAGGUUUAUCUGCCGAAGGAUCGGCCCGCGUCUGAUUAGCUAGUUGGUGAGGUUAUGGCUCACCAAGGCGACGAUCAGUAGCUGGUCUGAGAGGAUGAUCAGCCACACUGGGACUGAGACACGGCCCAGACUCCUACGGGAGGCAGCAGUGGGGAAUAUUGGACAAUGGGGGCAAUCCUGAUCCAGCCAUGCCGCGUGAGUGAUGACGGCCUUAGGGUUGUAAAGCUCUUUUCUCCGGGACGAUAAUGACGGUACCGGAGGAAUAAGCCCCGGCUAACUUCGUG